UAUAUCUUCACAAGUCAUACUAGUUGGAUGAUUUGGUGAAUGCAGCGCGAGAUGAUUGUGAAACAUCAGAUCCAUCCAACCAUUCUAAGUGUGGACAUGCCAAUAAAAUAGCUUCAGCAUACAUUUUUCUUCUUGUUCUCCAUGCCUCAGACAAAGUGGAACUAAAGGCCAGCUCUUUCUCCUGCCAUUGCUUUUGCGGGUCUUCUUUUCUAUGAUGACCUUUUUGGUUGAUACUUUGUUGGUAUUUUGAGGCUGCAGAGAGCUCAUAAAUAGAGUCGUCAAUUACGGGAUAAAUGUUGAAAUUAAGAGGAUUCAUGCGCAGAUCCAGUACGUUUAACUGUUUCAGGUUUGCCAAUAUAUCACAUAAAUUUCGCAUCUUUUUGAUUCUAUUUCCCACUAAGUAAAGUCGGUGGAUCAUUUGCAAUGGUUUCAGCGACUCUAUGUCUGAUAUAUAGUUAUGUGAUAAGUCCAAUACACGUAAAUUGGGCAUACUGGUCGCAAUGUAUUUAGGUACUUCUUUGAGCUGAACGUUUGCAAGCUCCAGAUACCUCACUCCCAGAAACAUGUGCUUACAAUCAAGAGUAACGAAGGUGUUAUUCGAUAGGUAUAGAUUUCGAAUAUCUAAAGAGGGUUGAAUGACAAAAUUGGAGGCUUCAGGAUCUUGAGUCCUGAACGAAAAAUUGACUAAGCGUUUUAGUCGACGGAUGUCAGGGGGACGAUUAAAUCGAUUAAGGUCCAUGUAUAAAGUUCGUAAAUGAGGAAAUUGAUCUACCUCAAGUUGAUGUAUGGCGUUGUUGCUGAUGCGUAAAAUUCGCAAAUGAAUCAUUGGUUGGCUAGCUUUCAAGUUGGUUAGUUUGUUAUUGUCCAAUUGUAAAACCAUAAGGUUUUGAAGCGAACUUAUUUCUUCGAUUUCUUCUAUUUCGUUAUUUCCCAAGAGCAAUUCCUCAAGACGAUGAAGAUUGGAAUUCGUAAAUGACAAUUCUUUAAUCCUGUUAUUGCAAGCGCUUAAUUUUAGCAAUCCAUCCAAAUGUUGAAUCCCAUCUAAACUCCAUAGAUGAUUACUGUCAACUUUCAACUCACGAAGGUGAAUUAGAGAAGAAAGACCAGUAAGGUCCUCUAGUUGAUUAUAUGAUAUGUCCAGAUAUUGUAGGUUUAAUAGGUUGGAAAAUGAAGUCAAACUUGACAAUCGAUUUUCAACAGCAUUCAGGUCUCUUAUCGUAACGGGGCAUCCUGUUAAGUAAGCAAUUUCAUUUCCUUCCAACGUGAGCUCUUCAAUAGAGGGACAGAGUUCAGAAAGUCCAAUCAAGGAAUCCAAAUGUCGUCUACUGAUGUCUAAUUGUAUAAUCCUUUUCCAGAAAGGCUCAUAUGGUUCAACAUCAGAAAGAAUUUGAAUUAUGGAUUGACGAGAUACUGAAAAACUAUAUUCAGCAUCUUUGUCGGCUUUACUUUUCAAUCCAGAACCUGAAGAAAUAAAAGGAAUUGGUGACCCAUUUUCAUACCUGCCAUUAAACAUUUCAUCAAAGCUCUCAUUUUGUAAGGAUAAAUCGUGAAAGGAAGAUAAAAUUUGCGGAGCGUUUUCGCUAUUGUCUCUUAAUGAAUGCUUAGGAAAUUCGGAUUGAGCAACAUUUUGCUUACGCAAAGGAAAGGAAUGAGGUUGUUGCUUCUCCAAAUUGUUUGGAUCAUUGUUCGCUUGAUGUCUGGUGGAUGCCGCUUUAAACAGUAUUGUACGCUCAGGAUGCGAAAGACUAGCAUCUUCGUCGGUUUCAAAAUCAAAGCCCAAGUCUGAAUCAUGACCUUUUCUCCGCCACCGAUUGUGUAUCCUGUCAAAUUCCAUGGAGCCUUGAGUUGUAUCUAUGCCUUCAGGAAGAUCUGCUGGCGUUAUAACCACCAUAUUGGGAUAAUCAGACACUUUUCUUGAGCUUUGAGCAGAGUGACUUCUUCUGGUUUUAACACUGGAAGUUUUUAGCGUUGAUUUGGGAGAGCUAUUUAAUCGGGCAGUCUUGGAAGAGGAUUGUGAAGAGCCAACAUCAAUUUCCCGAAGUGGCAUUUUAUCGGUCAUAUAUGCCUGGCGUUGAGGGGAGGAAGAUGCGGAUGGAAAGGAAUCAUCAUUAUCAUUGAAAAUUGAGGUAACCCUUUUCAUACUUUGAAGACUUUUUAAAUGAAGUUGAUCACUUAAGGAGGGAAAUGCAUUAGAGCUAUCUUCUUGACUUACUUCAACUGAAAUUUCAUCUUGUUCCUCCUCCUCACGAAGUCCGCUGAGCUUUCGAGGAAGAAAAAUUGUAGAUUCUCGUCCCGAAUUAGGCAUUCUUCCUCGCAAUCUUGCCAUGACUUCUUCAACCUCUUGAUAGAGAUCUUUGGUAUUGAGGCUAGCCUUUCGUUCAGUUGUACGCAUAGGUUUUUGUGGUCUUCGUGGUUCAGGGAGUGAAAAUUGUUUUUCCCCAUUUUCAAAUGAAUUGGACUUUACAUCUUGAGUUAAUUGAUUCAAAUGCUCACGAGUAAACGGAUCACUAGCUCCUUGGAAAAGUUUAAGGGGGGAUGUAUUAUUGGGCUUCAAGGAGGGAGAAGAAACAACGGAUGAGGAUGACGAUGCAUUGCUAGCAUGGUCCGUAUUUUGCUUUUCGUGAACCGAGUUAGACCUGGUAUUAGAUUGUUGACUUUUCAAGCUUCCUUCUGAGUAUUUUUUGCUAAACUGAGAAGAGGAGAUAGAUUCUUUUUCGUAAUCCUGUGAAACGAAAGGAUCUUUAGAAGGAGAAGAUUGCAUGUUCGAUACAUUAGAUAGUUUACCAACUGAAGAAGAACUACGCCUAGAAGAGUUAUUACUGGACUUUUUGGACGGAUUUUUUGUUGGAGACUUUGAAGGGGGGCUUUGUUUGCUGCUUUCUUCAAACAUAUUUUCCAAAUCCAACCUUGCAAAAAUAUCACGAGCAACAGGGUUCUUUGCAUUCACCUGUUUCCAUUGAGGAACAUCCGGAGCAUCAUUUCUUCCUUUCUUAAACGUUCCAUGCUCUGUCGAAGUUCCUGAACUACCACGACCUGUAGAUUGAGUAUUGUUUACAUUUGAUGUGGUUGGUGGUUCACUAGAAUUGUCUGACCCUUGUUCUUGUGGCUGCGGAAUCCAUUCUUCACUUAAAUCAUGUUCAAGCCAUAACUGUUCCAUGAUUUCUGAAAAGCACACAUACCUUCCAUAGAAAAAAGAAGUUUUGUUUACGUCUAUGAGACGCGACGGGAUGUCGUGGUACUGGGACUCAAUCACCCUUUUGCACAAUUUGACAUAGGAUAUUCAAGCGUA
rnacentral:lncRNA from 1 species